rnacentral:rRNA from 1 species
AUUGAACGCUGGCGGCAGGCCUAACACAUGCAAGUCGAGCGGAUGAAGAGAGCUUGCUCCUGGAUUCAGCGGCGGACGGGUGAGUAAUGCCUAGGAAUCUGCCUGGUAGUGGGGGACAACGUUUCGAAAGGAACGCUAAUACCGCAUACGUCACACGGGAGAAAGCAGGGGACCUUCGGGCCUUGCGCUAUCAGAUGAGCCUAGGUCGGAUUAGCUAGUUGGUGAGGUAAUGGCUCACCAAGGCGACGAUCCGUAACUGGUCUGAGAGGAUGAUCAGUCACACUGGAACUGAGACACGGUCCAGACUCCUACGGGAGGCAGCAGUGGGGAAUAUUGGAUAAUGGGCGAAAGCCUGAUCCAGCCAUGCCGCGUGUGUGAAGAAGGUCUUCGGAUUGUAAAGCACUUUAAGUUGGGAGGAAGGGUUGUAGAUUAAUACUCUGCAAUUUUGACGUUACCGACAGAAUAAGCACCGGCUAACUCUGUGCCAGCAGCCGCGGUAAGAC